CACGCCGUAAACGAUGUCAACUAGCCGUUGGGACCUUGAGGUCUCAGUGGUGCAGCUAACGCGUGAAGUUGACCGCCGUGGGGAGUACGGCCGCAAGGACUAAAACUCAAAUGAAUUGACGGGGGCCCGCACAAGCGGUGGAGCAUGUGGUUUAAUUCGAUGCAACGCGAAGAACCUUACCUACCCUUGACAUUGACAGAAUCCACCAGAGAUGGAGGAGUGCCUUCGGGCCUGGAAAACAG
rnacentral:rRNA from 1 species